AGCUUAGGAGUGUGAACACAUGAGAUUGCAAAUCUUAAGAAGCAGAUUAAUUUCUGCCUGAGCUU
rnacentral:tRNA from 1 species